rnacentral:rRNA from 1 species
GACGAACGCUGGCGGCGUGCUUAACACAUGCAAGUCGAGCGGUAAGGCCCUUUCGGGGGUACACGAGCGGCGAACGGGUGAGUAACACGUGGGUGACCUGCCCUCAGCUCUGGGAUAAGCCUGGGAAACCGGGUCUAAUACCGGAUAUGACUCCAUGACGCAUGUUGUGGGGUGGAAAGCCUUGUGCGGCUGAGGAUGGGCCCGCGGCCUAUCAGCUUGUUGGUGGGGUGAUGGCCUACCAAGGCGACGACGGGUAGCCGGCCUGAGAGGGCGACCGGGCCACACUGGGACUGAGACACGGCCCAGACUCCUACGGGAGGCAGCAGUGGGGAAUCUUGCGCAAUGGGCGAAAGCCUGACGCAGCGACGCCGCGUGAGGGAUGACGGCCU